GACGGAGGGUGCUAGCGUUGUUCGGAAUCACUGGGCGUAAAGGGCGCGCAGGCGGCCUGGUUGGUCGGGUGUGAAAGCCCGGGGCUCAACCCCGGAACGGCACCCGAGACGGCCAAGCUGGAGACCGGGAGAGGAGGGUGGAAUAGCCAGUGUAGAGGUGAAAUUCGUAGAUAUUGGCUGGAACACCGGUGGCGAAAGCGGCUCUCUGGCCCGGUUCUGACGCUGAGGCGCGAAAGCGUGGGGAGCAAACAGGAUUAGAAACCCCCGUAGUCC
rnacentral:rRNA from 1 species